GAGUAAUGCCUAGGAAAUUGCCCUGAUGUGGGGGAUAACCAUUGGAAACGAUGGCUAAUACCGCAUGAUGCCUACGGGCCAAAGAGGGGGACCUUCGGGCCUCUCGCGUCAGGAUAUGCCUAGGUGGGAUUAGCUAGUUGGUGAGGUAAGGGCUCACCAAGGCGACGAUCCCUAGCUGGUCUGAGAGGAUGAUCAGCCACACUGGAACUGAGACACGGUCCAGACUCCUACGGGAGGCAGCAGUGGGGAAUAUUGCACAAUGGGCGCAAGCCUGAUGCAGCCAUGCCGCGUGUGUGAAGAAGGCCUUCGGGUUGUAAAGCACUUUCAGUCGUGAGGAAGGUAGUGUAGUUAAUAGCUGCAUUAUUUGACGUUAGCGACAGAAGAAGCACCGGCUAACUCCGUGCCAGCAGCCGCGGUAAUACGGAGGGUGCGAGCGUUAAUCGGAAUUACUGGGCGUAAAGCGCAUGCAGGUGGUUUGUUAAGUCAGAUGUGAAAGCCCGGGGCUCAACCUCGGAAUUGCAUUUGAAACUGGCAGACUAGAGUACUGUAGAGGGGGGUAGAAUUUCAGGUGUAGCGGUGAAAUGCGUAGAGAUCUGAAGGAAUACCGGUGGCGAAGGCGGCCCCCUGGACAGAUACUGACACUCAGAUGCGAAAGCGUGGGGAGCAAACAGGAUUAGAUACCCUGGUAGUCCACGCCGUAAACGAUGUCUACUUGGAGGUUGUGGCCUUGAGCCGUGGCUUUCGGAGCUAACGCGUUAAGUAGACCGCCUGGGGAGUACGGUCGCAAGAUUAAAACUCAAAUGAAUUGACGGGGGCCCGCACAAGCGGUGGAGCAUGUGGUUUAAUUCGAUGCAACGCGAAGAACCUUACCUACUCUUGACAUCCAGAGAACUUUCCAGAGAUGGAUUGGUGCCUUCGGGAACUCUGAGACAGGUGCUGCAUGGCUGUCGUCAGCUCGUGUUGUGAAAUGUUGGGUUAAGUCCCGCAACGAGCGCAA
rnacentral:rRNA from 1 species